UACAGAGACUGCAAGCGUUAUUCGGAUUCACUGGGCGUAAAGGGUGCGCAGGCGGCCAAGUGUGUUAGGCGUGAAAGCCCGGGGCUUAACCUCGGAAUUGCACCUAAAACUACUUGGCUAGAGCAUUGGAGAGGGUAGCGGAAUUCACGGUGUAGCAGUGAAAUGCGUAGAUAUCGUGAGGAACACCAGAGGCGAAGGCGGCUACCUGAACAAUUGCUGACGCUCAGGCACGAAAGCGUGGGGAGCAAAAGGG
rnacentral:rRNA from 1 species